rnacentral:lncRNA from 1 species
GGCGUGGGUCUAACACCGGAUCCUGCCAACCGUGAAGGUUCAUGAGAGAGAGACAGUGGAGAAGAGGGAAGAGGAUGAUGAAAUUCCCCACCGAUCGAGGCUUCUUGUAGCCUCUGAUUGCUGGGAAAGGCGGGCGGUUGUAACCGCCCACCAUCAGGCGUUACGAACGUCUGCACGAUGGUGUAAUGCCCCCCCCCCUCCGUUUCUCUUGGGAGUGGGGCGGUUAUCACAUUCUCCCCUCCUUAUUAAAAUUUCGUCCUCGAAAUUUACAUACCUGCAUUGUCAAAGAGUUGUGGAUGUCUCGCUCGCAUAUCCUCCUCAAGUUCCCAUG